rnacentral:rRNA from 1 species
CAGUCGCCACGGGAAUACGUAGGUGGCAAGCGUUGUCCGGAAUUAUUGGGCGUAAAGGGCUCGCAGGCGGUUUCUUAAGUCUGAUGUGAAAGCCCCCGGCUCAACCGGGGAGGGUCAUUGGAAACUGGGAAACUUGAGUGCAGAAGAGGAGAGUGGAAUUCCACGUGUAGCGGUGAAAUGCGUAGAGAUGUGGAGGAACACCAGUGGCGAAGGCGACUCUCUGGUCUGUAUCUGACGCUGAGGAGCGAAAGCGUGGGGAGCGAACAGGAUUAGAUACCCCGGUAGUCCCUGUCUCUUAUAC